UUUGGGGGAGUUGUGUUGUGUCGGCAUUUUUUGGACGGGCCAUGUGUAUAGAAUGUGUGGCCCACUGAAAUUAGAGGAGAGGUGUUAAUGCAAAAUUGCAAAUGCAUGCCAUUGCCACCGGGGUUGUUGAAUUGAAUGAGUAUAGGAUUAUAUUAGAUUUGUCCUCCAAUUCCAAUCUCAAAUUCUCAAUUUUAUCUUCUGCUAUACUAGAAAUCUGGAGCAGUAGAGACGUAGAGUAUAAACAAUUCUCAAAGGAAACCCUAGAAUAGAAAAGAAGGAUGAAGAAAAAGAAGCAGGUGCCGGAGUGGAUGAACAGUGCUCUGUGGUCCACCCCCUCCGACCAUGGCCGCUUUGACCCACCCUCUCCUCCUCCUCCUCCCCCUGUUUCUGUUAAAGAAGAUUCCCGGACAAUCCCAACCAAUCAGAAUUCCUCUCCUCCUCCUUUUUCUUCUUCAUCCGUUUCUUCUCCUACUGCUUCCGCCGAUGACAUCUCCCGGCAGGCCCAGGCCCAGGCUCAGGCUCAGGUUCAGUUGUUGGCCGAGUUAUCUAGGAAGGUGAUAGAUAUGCGCGAGUUGAGGAGAGUCGCUUCUCAAGGAAUACCCGAUGCUGCUUUGCGUCCCACCCUCUGGAAGCUUCUGCUUGGAUAUCUUCCUCCCGAUCGUGCCCUUUGGUUCUCUGAAUUAACCAAAAAGAGGUCCCAGUACAAAAAUUUCAAAGACGACCUCCUCAUGAAUCCUUCAGAAAUCACGAGGAGGAUGUACAACUCCAACUCCAACUCCGCUGCUCAUGAUAUCGAUGAUGCAAAAUCUGAUACUCAGACUGGGCUCUUGCUUUCUAGAUCACAAAUCACUCAUCAGGACCACCCUUUGAGUCUUGGCAAGACCAGCAUAUGGAAUCAGUUCUUCCAGGACACAGAGAUCAUAGAGCAGAUUGACCGAGAUGUCAAGCGUACUCAUCCAGAUAUAGACUUCUUCUCUGGUGAUUCUCAUUUUGCAAAAUCUAAUCAGGAGGCUUUAAAGACCAUAUUAAUUAUUUUUGCAAAGUUGAACUCAGGUAUAAGAUAUGUUCAAGGGAUGAAUGAAGUAUUGGCUCCUCUCUUCUAUGUGUUAAAAAAUGACCCUGACGAGGAAAAUGCAGCCUUUGCUGAAGCAGACACAUUCUUUUGUUUUGUUGAGCUAUUGAGUGGGUUCCAAGAUAAUUUUUGUCAACAACUUGAUAAUAGUAUUUGUGGAAUCCGUUCCACUAUUACAAGAUUGUCCCAGCUUUUAAAAGAACAUGAUGAAGAACUGUGGCGUCAUCUUGAGGUCACUACUGAGGUUAAUCCCCAAUUCUAUGCAUUUAGGUGGAUUACUCUCCUCUUGACACAGGAAUUUAAUUUUGCUGACAUCCUUCAUAUUUGGGACGUCAUUUUAAGUGAUCCAGAGGGUCCACAGCCACUGGGUAUUGCAUGCAAUUACAGUGGUGGGUGGGAAUGUCCGCAGCAAGCUGCAGCUGGCCUUCAAGUGCUUCUGCAUGUUGUGUGUCUUUAUGCCAAGAAAUGCAUAUCAUCAUGCCUCAAAUCCAGCUGAGUUCCUUUUGAUUCUGCAUGUCCUGUGUAUUCAUGACAGCAACAGUGUGUUUUGAUACCUAUCAUGCAUCAUCCAUUUUAUAUACUGGACCCUGCGUCCCAUGAUGAUAGCCAUCUUAUGGCCAGCAUCAUAACACACAUAUGCUUUCGUUGAGUUUUGGUAGCCUAUGCCAAAUGGCUUUGAUAGGCCUUUGCCAGCUAUUAUGCCCAGUGGAAGGACCUGAGAUUCUUGCUGCUGCCCCCAAGAUACGGUGUUGGAAAAGGAGACACUUCUCAGAAUAUGCUGCGCAAUGCUAAUUCUGGUUCGUAGGCGCCUUCUAGCGGGUGAUUUCACUUCUAACCUCAAGUUGCUGCAAAGUUAUCCAUCUACAAACAUUAGUCAUUUGCUCCAUGUAGCAA